rnacentral:other from 2 species
CGGUGGCUGCCCAACGCGUGAGGUAUCGACAUUCCCUGGGGCUAUAAGUCUUCAUCGGGAGCUGUCCCUGUCGAACUCCUGGGUUCGAUACAUGGUGCCCACCUGCACUAGCAGGCCACAGAGGAUUGCAAACGCCCACGGUUGUCGCGGCGCCGUC